CCGUAUCAGGGAUUCAAUAAGAUUUUGUUUUCGAAGCUUUAAAAUAGACAGAUUUAUUAAAGAGUCAUCAUACAGGCUCCAUUUAGGUAAGACAGAGAGCAGGUGUACACUUCUCUCCACUUACAGCAAGAAUAGAACGAUGGCCUUAGCCCCCCGGACAUGACUUGUAGGCUAUCCAUAUAAAGAGAAGAGAGUUACCAGCCAAUAAUUCCAUGACAUUAAGCCAAUUAACUUUGCCAGGAUGCACGACUGGUCCAUCGGCUGAAGGAAUCUCACUGGCUGAAGGAGAAGAUGAGG